UCCAUAUAAUUGGCCUAGACAAGCUGGUCAACAUGUUUCCAUAAUAUGUAAAUCCACCUUUGACUCAUUUAAGACAACUAAUUACUAGAAAUGAGAAGCAUGGUGAUUUCCAAUAUAUCUGGAGAAGAAUAUUCUGGAUUUGUUUUUCAGAACAAAUAGUAACAUGUCAUGCAGCUAUAAAGAAAAUAAAAAAGGCAAAAAGAGCAUUUCUGCACAGCACUUCAAGAAAAAUCACAGAUCAAUCCACUGGGGUACACAUAGUUGGAAAUUUCACUUCAAAGUAUGGAAUUUAUGGCAUUUCAUGAUUUUGUCCUCCAUUUUGAAGGUAUUUGGGAUAAAAGGUGACAUAUGAAAAUAAAUUGAAGGCAAUUCAUCUUGAUAACUAUAUCCUUGAUUGUCCUGAAACAUGAAUUACAACAGUUAUAUAUUGAACUACCACCAUCCACAUGUAGAAGACUCCAGGACAAGGAACUAAGUCAAGCAAUCUAUGUAAAUUAUUUAUUUUAAUAGAAGAUUGCUUACAGCAGUGUCAACGUGGGUACCACUAGGAGAGAAGGACAGCAGCAGAAACUGCGGGAGAAUUGACCCAGUACAAGAUGAAAAGGACCUGUGCCCCGAACUGCGAGCUGUGAGUGGAAGAUAAUCACACAAAGUAGAGGAUAAAGUCACUUAGGAUUCACAGGAACUUCUGCUCUUGCCUUGAUGGCCUGAAAUGCACAAACCCACCAGGUCAUUAUUCAACAGUCACUGGAAAACAAAAGGAAAUGUAUUCCAGGACAAAGAGGCUGAGCAAGAGAGCCAAGAGACACACAACUUGGAGCGCACUUUCUUACUGCAGUGAAUUUGACAUACGUGAUGUGACCCUAUUACUGCACCGUAGAAUUCAAAAAUUUUUUUAAGUUGACAGAUAAUAAUUGUCUAUAUCUUUGGAUUCAGUGUGAUUUCUUGAUGUAUAUAAAGAUUGCAAAAACAUGCAUUCUAACUUUGUUUGAUGUAUUAAUC